GCGUGGCACCAGGCGUUCAAGCAGAUCUGCCUUGGCUGUUUGUGGCGAUUGCUCAACAGGGUGAAUUAAACAAGCACCUUUGCAUGAUCAUUUCUGCCUUUCAGCAUCAUGCUCUGCAGAGCUACUCUCCAGAAUGACCAACUCUAUAGGAUUUUAUAAAGAGAAGAUUUAAAAGAAAGAAUAAAAGGGAAAGGAUUCUUGACGUCCCAGUUUAGGAAACUCUCUAAAAAGAGCAGUAUGAGUACUAUGAGAAAUGAGCCAAUUCUAAUCUUCCCUACAUGCAGAAGGCACUGUCACAGAUGGUGAGCACACAGCCACAUAAGGCUAUGACCCUUCUCUACUCAUCCCCUCUUUGUGUGGUUGUACCUUGAGGAAUCAGAAGCUCAGCUGCUGAGCACAAAACAAGAUAAUCAAAGAUGGUGGAAGAAGUCAAUUGGAUGUCUCCUCCCUAAUGGGGUUUCCAGAUCUGAAGCAGUGUCAAGCUGAUAGAAGAUUGAAUGAGUGGCCUAGAGGUACAGCAGUCAUCUUGUGACCAAGAAGAAGAAAAUCAAAUGCUAAAGAUGGUAGAGCAAAAAGAGAGAAGAUAUUUGGGUCAGCCCUGGAAUACCUAUCAUAUUCUCCUUGCUAGAUGGGAAAAGUCAGUCCUUUAUAAUUUUCAUGUACAGGUAUACAAGCUCCUCUGACUCCAGCAGGUGUUGAAUUGAAAUCAAUCACAUGUUGUUGCUACUGAAAUGAGACUUAAAUAUCAAGUCAUUAAGUUUGUCACGAUGCAGUUGGUGAAACAGGCCCAGAAAAAGUUAAGUGAGUUUUCUAACAGGAAACAACCCAGAGAGUCAAAGCUGGAAUCCAAACCUCUUGAUUCUCAGUUCAGCACUAUUUCCACUGUUCCUGCUGCCACACUAAGUAAAGGAAUAAAAUGCUUAUUGGUGGCCUACUCUGUGUUAGGUACCGUACUGGAUGAUAUCAGAGGGCAGAACUGUAUAAGACCACACUCCUUUCUCAUAAAGGGCAUACAAUCUAGAUCAAGAGAUAAAACUCCAUCAGACUAUAAAAUAUACAAAUAGUUUUAAAAUACAGCUUGAGAAAUUAGUCCCAUUACAUUUUGUACCACAAUAGUAUAAGCCCA
ensembl:lncRNA novel transcript